rnacentral:piRNA from 1 species
AUGCAGAAGGAUGCAGGA